rnacentral:rRNA from 1 species
GACGAACGCUGGCGGCGUGCUUAACACAUGCAAGUCGAACGGAAAGGCCCUGCUUUUGUGGGGUGCUCGAGUGGCGAACGGGUGAGUAACACGUGAGUAACCUGCCCUUGACUUUGGGAUAACUUCAGGAAACUGGGGCUAAUGCCGGAUAGGAGCUCCUGCUGCAUGGUGGGGGUUGGAAAGUUUCGGCGGUUGGGGAUGGACUCGCGGCUUAUCAGCUUGUUGGUGGGGUAGUGGCUUACCAAGGCUUUGACGGGUAGCCGGCCUGAGAGGGUGACCGGCCACAAUGGGACUGAGAUACGGCCCAGACUCCUACGGGAGGCAGCAGUCGGGAAUAUUGCACAAUGGGCGGAAGCCUGAUGCAGCAACGCCGCGUGCGGGAUGACGGCCUUCGGGUUGUAAACCGCUUUCGCCUGUGACGAAGCGUGAGUGACGGUAAUGGGUAAAGAAGCACCGGCUAACUACGUG